AUGACUCACCAUGAUAUACAACAAGAGGUGAUAAAAUGUUGUGCACAAGAGACUACUAAACUAGUCAUUGAAGAACUUGAUGGUGGUCAUUUUGCAAUACUUGCAGAUGAGUCUAGUGAUGUGUAUCAGAAUGAACAGUUGGCUGUUUGCUUGCGUUUUGUUGAUAAGAAAGGAAGGGCAGUUGUAAGAUUUCUUGGUCUUUCUCAUGUUGAAGAUACUACCUCUUUGACACUAAAAGCUGCAAUUCAGAAAAUGCUUAUGGACCACAAUUUGACCUUUGAGAUGGUUCGUGGGCAAGGAUAUGAUGGAGCUAGUAACAUGAGAGGUAAUGUCAGUGGCCUGAAAAAACUGAUUAUGGAUGAGUCCCCUUCUACCUACUAUGUUCAUUGUUUUGCCCAUCAACUACAAUUAACUCUUGUUGUUGUUGCUAAGGAGAGUGGUGAUUGUACUUGGUUCUUUCAGCAGCUUGCACACUUGUUAAAUGCUCUUGGCAUGUCUUGUAAAAAAAUGAGAAUGCUUCGGAUAGCUCAGGCUUAAGAACUCAUUGAUGCAUUGGAGUUGGAAGAAGUAGAAAUAGGGAGUGGGCUGAAUCAGGAAAUGGGUUUGGGAAGGCCAUGUGAUACACGUCGGGGCUCUCACUUCAAAACUGUGAACCAUGUCAUCUCUAUGUAUGGUGCACUACGACGAGUCGUUCGCAAGAUUGGAGACGAGUACCAUGGUGCGGAGGCACAAGCGGCUCUAUCCAUAGAGACAAUAUUUCGAUCAUUUGAGUUUGUUUUCAUGGCACACUUGAUGCAAGAAAUAUUUGGAUACACAGAUGAGUUGUGUAGAGCUUUGCAAAAGCAAGACGAAGAUAUUGUUCAUGCUAUUGAGCUUGUUGCUAACACAAAGUAUUACUUGGAGGCUUUGAGGACCGAUGCUGGAUGGGAUGAUUUUCUCACAAAGGUCACAUCUUUUUGUACAAAGCAUAAGAUCAAAGUUGUUGAUAUGGAGGGUCCUUGCUUUCCCGUUGGUCGGCCUAGAAGGAGUUUGUGUAAUGGUCCGACCAAUUACCACUGCUUCAAGGUUGAUAUGUUUGUGGGUGUCAUUGAUAGGCAAAUCAGUGAGCUGAAUGGCAGAUUUGAUGAGGUAAACACGGAGCUACUUUCUUGCAUGACAGCAUUUUGUCCACUUCAUCUUUUUGCUGCUUAUGACCAAGAGAAGUUAGUUAGACUUGCUACAAAGUUUUAUGCUUCUGAUUUUACAAGGGAUGAACUGGCAAGACUUCCAUGGCAACUAAACAUGUAUGUUACUAAUGUGUGUAGAGAUGAAAAGUUUCAAAACCUGAAAAAUCUGUGUCAGCUUUCAGUUAUGCUUGUUGAGACAAACAAGCAUGAACAAUAUCAUAUUGUUUACAAGCUUCUUAAGUUGGUAUUGAUUCUGCCAGUAGCUACUGCUAGUGUUGAAAGGGUAUUCUCUUCAAUGAACUAUGUGAAGAAUAAGCUAAGGAAAAAAAUGGGUGAUGAUUAUUUGAACAAUUGUCUAGUUACAUUCGUUGAGAGGGAAUUUUUCAAUCAAGUGAAGGAUGAAGAUGUCAUCAAUCUGUUCCAAAAAGGCGACCGCAAAGUUAUAUUGUAA
rnacentral:rRNA from 1 species